GACGAACGCUGGCGGCGUGCCUAAUACAUGCAAGUCGAGCGCAGGAAGCUGACGGAACUCUUCGGACGGAAGGCAGUGGAAUGAGCGGCGGACGGGUGAGUAACACGUAAGGAACCUGCCUCAAGGAUUGGGAUAACUCCGAGAAAUCGGAGCUAAUACCGGAUAGUUCAACGGACCGCAUGGUCCGCUGAUGAAAGGCGCUCCGGCGUCACCUUGAGAUGGCCUUGCGGUGCAUUAGCUAGUUGGUGGGGUAACGGCCCACCAAGGCGACGAUGCAUAGCCGACCUGAGAGGGUGAUCGGCCACACUGGGACUGAGACACGGCCAAGACUCCUACGGGAGGCAGCAGUAGGGAAUCUUCCACAAUGGACGAAAGUCUGAUGGAGCAACGCCGCGUGAGUGAUGAAGGUUUUCGGAUCGUAAAACUCUGUUGUAAGGGAAGAACACGUACGAGAGGAAAUGCUCGUACCUUGACGGUACCUUACGAGAAAGCCACGGCUAACUACGUGCCAGCCGCCGCCGUAAGAC
rnacentral:rRNA from 1 species